rnacentral:misc_RNA from 1 species
GAAAUGCGAUAAGUAAUGUGAAUUGCAGAUUUUCAGUGAAUCAUCGAAUCUUUGAACGCACCUUGCGCUCCUUGGUAUUCCGAGGAGCAUGCCUGUUUGAGUGUCAUUAAAUCCUCAACCCUCCCUUGCGGGUGUGGCUUGGACUUGGAGCGUGCUGGCGAAGGUCGGCUCCUCUUUAAAUGCAUCAGCGGAAAGCUUUUCUGGCCGUUCGGCGUGAUAACACUGUUGCGCCGUGGAAGCCUCUGUAAAGGCCUCGCUUACAAUCGUCUUCGGACAAAACGACAUCUCAGUCAAAUCCACUUUGACCUCAAAUCAGGUAGGACUACCCGCUGAACUUAA